UCUAUAACUGUAUUCAAAGGCAACCUGGAGAGACUUUGACAGCUCAGGUCACCACAAUACCUGCAGCUGUUACUGGCCUUUCC
rnacentral:snoRNA from 1 species